GACGAACGCUGGCGGUGUGCUUAACACAUGCAAGUGGUGCGACGAACCAGAGCUUGCUCUGGGGCAAAGCCGCGAACGGGUGAGUAACACGUGGGUAAUCUACCCCGAUGACCGGGACAACCCGAGGAAACUCGGGCUAAUACCGGAUGUGGUACGGAGACAUAAGUCUCUUUACUAAAGGUAGCUUCGGCUUCCGCAUUGGGAGGGGCCCGCGGCCCAUUAGCUAGUUGGUGGGGUCAAGGCCUACCAAGGCAACGAUGGGUAGCUGGUCUGAGAGGACGAUCAGCCACACUGGGACUGAGACACGGCCCAGACUCCUACGGGAGGCAGCAGUGGGGAAUCUUGCGCAAUGUGCGGAAGCGUGACGCAGCAACACCGCGUGAGGGAAGACGGCCUUAGGGUUGUAAACCUCUUUCAGAUGGGACGAAGGUGAUGCGGUGAAUAGCCGAUGUCAUUGACGGUACCGUCAGAAGAAGCUCCGGCUAACUACGUGCCAGCAGCCGCGGUAAU
rnacentral:rRNA from 1 species